rnacentral:misc_RNA from 1 species
UCCGGUUUGGCACCGGCAGUCUCCCCAGAGUUCCCGGCAUGACCCGCUGGCAACUGAGGACAAGGGUUGCGCUCGUUGCGCCACUUAAGGCAACACCUCACGGCACGAGCUGACGACAGCCAUGCACCACCUGUGAUGGUGUCCCGAAGGAAAGGUGUGUUUCCACACCGGUCACCAACAUGUCAAGCCCAGGUAAGGUUCUUCGCGUUGCGUCGAAUUAAACCACAUGCUCCGCUGCUUGUGCGGGUCCCCGUCAAUUCCUUUGAGUUUUAGCCUUGCGGCCGUACUCCCCAGGCGGGGCACUUAAUGCGUUAGCGUCGGCACGGGAGGAAGGUGGGGAUGACGUGUAGGAGCUCGAC